AAUGGUGUGUCAGGGCCACCAUGAGACGCCCCCCCAAACCUUGCAGGCUAGGCCGCGGACGAUGGGGAAAUCAAACCGGGUCACCCUGGGACGGGGGCAGCGACGUUUCCAUGCCGACCCCAUUCACUCUCCAGGCUGGAACCUGCAUGCUAAUAAUCAUACGAACGGAUUUCAUCCAUGAUCGUAUCCAGCCUUCCUUCUCCUUCCAGGAAACCAGUGAGACUCAUGGAGGAGCUCAGACUCCAGGCAGCAGUGUCCUUCAUGUUGGAGCCAACCACUCCACGUCACAACGUCUCGUCUGUCUGUCUGUCCAGGAUCCGGAUCCUCAGAAGCCUGUGAAUCGGAGAACAGUGAAGACAUUUGUUUGUUUGUUUAAAUGGAAACUCUCACUGACAAGAUCAGACACUGUAUUUUCCGUGCACAUUUAUUUCAAUCCGAUAAAAAUGAUAAAGAAAAAUAGGGUCUGGAGAUAGCUGUGUUUAGCUUUAUCCCUCGGAGGGUAUCACCGAACUGAUAUGGUAUUCAAACAGCCACCUUUUUUUGCUUUUAGGCUUAAGGCUCCAGUUAAGGUCUCCAAUUCAUGAAAGGGGAGAUAGGAAAAAUGCAUGAAAUAUUCUUUCAAAAAGCUUUAUCAUCUAUCUGCAUUCUUACUGUCUCCCGGCCUCUCUGCCUGCUUGGCUCAGAGUCUACUUAUUCCCGCUUAACAUAUCAAAACCCACCAGCCACAGCUAAUCGUUAGAAUCAUUCACAGCCAUAAACAAAAGUACACAGGAACAACUCUCAGCUCUGUCUGAGGUCAACUGAGUCAAGGCUCAAAUGGACGAUAUUCUCCACAUGGUUGGAAGUUCGGUACCAUUGUGACAAAUCAUUUGAAAACCCAAAAAGAUCUUUGAAAGGGGAUUGCACCAGACUCAGAGCCACUCAAUAGUGUUGAGAAUAUUAAUCUAUUUAGUAUUUCUGUCCACUGAG
ensembl:lncRNA